CUGUGAGAUUACAUAUGCAUAUAGUGUUAAUGUUAUAAGAGUGUAGUAUCAACUCACAAAGUUAUCAGGUUAAAUAGCUUUAUCAACUAAUAAAAAUGUUAUUGCAUCACUAAUGUUAUACUGUAGCCCCGCCACGAUAUCUAGAAAAAUUAUUUUGCUGAGUAUCGUAGUAAAAGCUAAGAUAUGAUGUUAAGAAUUUUUUUGAGUCGUGCAACAACAUUAACAGCAAACUAUAAUACAAAUCUAUCUUUUUAAAAGUUUGUAUUGCU
rnacentral:misc_RNA from 2 species